GUUUGAUCAUGGCUCAGAUUGAACGCAGGCGGCAGGCCUAACACAUGCAAGUCGAGCGGUAACAGGUAGAAAGCUUGCUAUCAAUGCUGACGAGCGGCGGACGGGUGAGUAAUGCCUGGGAAUAUACCCUGAUGUGGGGGAUAACUAUUGGAAACGAUAGCUAAUACCGCAUAAUCUCUUCGGAGCAAAGAGGGGGACCUUCGGGCCUCUCGCGUCAGGAUUAGCCCAGGUGGGAUUAGCUAGUUGGUGGGGUAAUGGCUCACCAAGGCGACGAUCCCUAGCUGGUCUGAGAGGAUGAUCAGCCACACUGGAACUGAGACACGGUCCAGACUCCUACGGGAGGCAGCAGUGGGGAAUAUUGCACAAUGGGGGAAACCCUGAUGCAGCCAUGCCGCGUGUAUGAAGAAGGCCUUCGGGUUGUAAAGUACUUUCAGUUGUGAGGAAGGCGUUGGAGUUAAUAGCUUCAGCGUUUGACGUUAGCAACAGAAGAAGCACCGGCUAACUCCGUGCC
rnacentral:rRNA from 1 species